rnacentral:rRNA from 1 species
GCUUGCUACGCGGGGAUUAGUGGCGAACGGGUGAGUAACACGUGAGUAACCUGCCCUUAACUCUGGGAUAAGCCUGGGAAACUGGGUCUAAUACCGGAUAUGACUGAUCAUCGCAUGGUGGUUGGUGGAAAGCUUUUUGUGGUUUUGGAUGGACUCGCGGCCUAUCAGCUUGUUGGUGAGGUAAUGGCUUACCAAGGCGACGACGGGUAGCCGGCCUGAGAGGGUGACCGGCCACACUGGGACUGAGACACGGCCCAGACUCCUACGGGAGGCAGCAGUGGGGAAUAUUGCACAAUGGGCGCAAGCCUGAUGCAGCGACGCCGCGUGAGGGAUGACGGCCUUCGGGUUGUAAACCUCUUUCAGUAGGGAAGAAGCGAAAGUGACGGUACCUGCAGAAGAAGCGCCGGCUAACUACGUGCCAGCAGCCGCGGUAAUACGUAGGGCGCAAGCGUUAUCCGGAAUUAUUGGGCGUAAAGAGCUCGUAGGCGGUUUGUCGCGUCUGCCGUGAAAGUCCGGGGCUCAACUCCGGAUCUGCGGUGGGUACGGGCAGACUAGAGUGAUGUAGGGGAGACUGGAAUUCCUGGUGUAGCGGUGAAAUGCGCAGAUAUCAGGAGGAACACCGAUGGCGAAGGCAGGUCUCUGGGCAUUAACUGACGCUGAGGAGCGAAAGCAUGGGGAGCGAACAGGAUUAGAUACCCUGGUAGUCCAUGCCGU